CGACAUGUUAGAGCUGGGUGUACUAAACAAGCCCCAAGGAGUAACACCAAGAAUAGGCUUGUAUGACUAUGAGUCGAUGAAAAAGAUGCUCGAGCAAAUCGCGGUUAACUUCCCCAGUGGAGAAGUCACUUUCAACAGUGGCAAGGUUACGAGCGGUACGUCUGCGGGAGGGGGGCUCGAGGCACAUGGAAAUGAUCCGGCAAAAGAAAAAAUCGCUAAGCCAGCUAUAGCCCCAAAAAGAGCAAGCACUCCAUGCUCACCAAUGCUACGAUCUACUUACACCAAGAAUGGCCCGCAGGAAUUUCCAAAUUAUAUAUGCUCGCGGUACCCUAGCAUAUCAGCACAGAAGCUUGCGGCCUAG
rnacentral:rRNA from 1 species